CCCAUCGUCGUAUCAUCUUCUUCAUCUCCCCAUUCCCGUCGCAUUUUCCCCUUUCACCUCCUCCAUAACGUCGGUCUCUCACUUUAUGAUUCACAAAUCCUCAUACAUUCAAUUCACUAUGAUAAUCAAUGGCUAUCCAACUCUUGCACUUCCCACAAAUUUACAACUGCAUAUAUAUAUAUAUAUAUAUAUAUAUAUAUCCUCCGCUUCUGAUGAAACAGUCAUGUUCAUCAGAGAUAUCUCCCUAGAUCGGACUCUUUCGGUCAUGUCUUGAAUGCAUAGUGUCUGAGAUAUGUUGGAGUUUCGCCGUGGAGUCCGUCGUUGCCGUGUUAUCGACAUUGAAGCUCUGAAUCAGCCUAAACAAGAAACAGAGGAAGAGUAAUGGCAACAUGGAAUCCAGCGGAGUAACAGAAGCAGCCACUGCCGUGGAGAGACAAAGGCCAAGCUGCUUGAGUUCUUCGUACACUCUCUUUACGGUAAUAUUCAUGGACAGUACUCGGGUCUGUUGAGGAUGUUUGAAUACAUAGGCUUCCCUCCUACAGCUAACUCCUAACUGUUAAUUCUUAGGAAAUUACGUGAACCGAAGCUGCUAGGGUCAAGAUGGAGGUCCCUUCAGAUGGUACCAUACUGAAGAAGGUCCUGCAUUCUGUUGAGCACAGAGUACCUUCGUAAGGAGAUCGAUCUUGAGUUGGAUGCUAAAGUAAAGAAAUAUCUUGCAGGAGAAAAUAAUGAUUGGUUCAGCAGGAUGUGUGACAUGCUUUUUAGAGCAACCUCUCAUCCCCUUCCUGAACUUAUUUUCUUUCUUGACAACUGAGUGACACGGAGAGAAUAUACGUUAAGUGGUUGAGACGAUAGAGAGCUUUGUAUCAACAGCUUGGAGACCACAAGAAGAGUACCAAUAAAAUUGAUAUCAAUCAGAGAAAAUCAUGCUUGCGAAGCAUACUUCCUCAGGGUGAUUAAGAUGGGAGCAAUGGAGAAGGAUGGGUAUACACUACGGUUUCGUUGCAAUCCACUAUGGACUGUGCCUACAGUUUUCGAUAAUUUCAGUGCAAAUGUGGUGGUUAACGGAGCCACCGUUAAUCUUGGAUUGUGGGAUACUGCAGGGCAAGAGGAUUACAAUAGAUUAAGAAUUUAAGACCACUUAGUUAUUGUGGAGCAGAUUUUUUCAUAUUGGCCUUCUCUCUUUUCAGUAAAGCCAGUUAUGAAAAUGUCUCCAAAAAGUUCACAUUUGUGUGGUUGCAGUGGAUCCCUGAGUUGAAACAUUACGCUCCCGGUGUCCCCAUCAUUCUCUUUGGCUCAAAGCUCGAUCUUUGAGAUGAUAAGCAGUUCUUUAUCGACCAUCCUGGUGCUGUCCCUAUUACUACUGCUCAGGGAGAGGAGCUGAGGAAGCUAAUAGAUGUUACGUCGAAUGCAGUUCCAAAUUUCAAGAGAAUGUGAAACCGGUGUUUGACGCAGCCGUACGAGUGGUCUUGCAACCUCUGAAGCAAAAGAAGAAGAAGAGCAAAGCGCAGAAGGCGUGCUCCAUCCUAUGAUGAUGAUGAUUGGAAAAUAUCUGUUUAUUUAUUCAUUUGUGGUUUUGGUAACAUUGCAUCAGUGAGUUAAUGGACAGACACCAAGUUUGGUUUUGAUCUUUUGUUUGUUUUUAAUAUUAAAUCAAUUUUAUUCGAAUCAGCAUUUUUUGCGUCUUCAA